UGUUAUGAAAAUGACGCGGGUUCCAAAACAUAGAUGAGAGUAUUUUUACUCUGUAUACAGAAAGACACCAACAGUUUCCUAUUUCAACCACGGGGAAGCACCAUAUUCAGCGUGCCUAAGUUCAUUUCUCUGACGUAACUCAAGGGGAAAUUUACGCAUGUCUCAGUGACGCACAGACAAGACUACUUCGCCGGAGACGUGCAAUUAUGCCUUUCCUCUCUGAUGAGAUACGCUUGGGAACUGUUUAAUCACGAGAAGUGUAUGACGUCAUUUGCAACGAUUACACAAGCAAAGUCAUUUGUUGAACGAGUGAAUUUCUAAGCAAGAAUCUCUUAUCAGAAAAGCAGGAUAAAGGCGUUUCUGAGGUAAACCAUGGUUGUUAUAGUCGACGGACUAGAUGAGAGGGUUAAAUGUUCGAUCUGUGGGAGCAUUUUCGACGAGCCACGAAAAACGUCAUAUGGACUUCGCUUUUGUAGAAACUGUCUCUUCGGCCGAAAAUUAGAAUAUUUAUUCAGUGGAAAGCUGA